rnacentral:rRNA from 1 species
CCUGGCGGCUCUAGCGCGGUGGUCCCACCUGACCCCAUGCCGAACUCAGAAGUGAAACGCCGUAGCGCCGAUGGUAGUGUGGGGUCUCCCCAUGCGAGAGUAGGGAACUGCCAGGC